rnacentral:tRNA from 1 species
UGCCGUUGUAGCUCAACUGGUAGAGCAACUGACUUGUAAUCAGUAGGUUGGGGGUUCAAGUCCUCUCGACGGCAU